GUAGGGCGGGACACGUGGUAUCCUGUCUGAAUAUGGGGGGACCAUCCUCCAAGGCUAAAUACUCCUGACUGACCGAUAGUGAACCAGUACCGUGAGGGAAAGGCGAAAAGAACCCCGGCGAGGGGAGUGAAAAAGAACCUGAAACCGUGUACGUACAAGCAGUGGGAGCACCCUUUGGGGUGUGACUGCGUACCUUUUGUAUAAUGGGUCAGCGACUUAUAUUCUGUAGCAAGGUUAACCGAAUAGGGGAGCCGGAGGGAAACCGAGUCUUAAUUGGGCGUUAAGUUGCAGGGUAUAGACCCGAAACCCGGUGAUCUAGCCAUGGGCAGGUUGAAGGUUGGGUAACACUAACUGGAGGACCGAACCGACUAAUGUUGAAAAAUUAGCGGAUGACCUGUGGCUGGGGGUGAAAGGCCAAUCAAACCGGGAGAUAGCUGGUUCUCCCCGAAAGCUAUUUAGGUAGCGCCUCGUGAAUUCAUCUCCGGGGGUAGAGCACUGUUUCGGCUAGGGGGCCAUCCCGGCUUACCAACCCGAUGCAAACUGCGAAUACCGGAGAAUGUUAUCACGGGAGACACACGGCGGGUGCUAACGUCCGUCGUGAAGAGGGAAACAACCCAGACCGCCAGCUAAGGUCCCAAAGUCAUGGUUAAGUGGGAAACGAUGUGGGAAGGCCCAGACAGCCAGGAUGUUGGCUUAGAAGCAGCCAUCAUUUAAAGAAAGCGUAAUAGCUCACUGGUCGAGUCGGCCUGCGCGGAAGAUGUAACGGGGCUAAACCAUGCACCGAAGCUGCGGCAGCGACGCUGAUGCGUUGUUGGGUAGGGGAGCGUUCUGUAAGCCUGCGAAGGUGGCCUGUGAGGGUUGCUGGAGGUAUCAGAAGUGCGAAUGCUGACAUAAGUAACGAUAAAGCGGGUGAAAAGCCCGCUCGCCGGAAGACCAAGGGUUCCUGUCCAACGUUAAUCGGGGCAGGGUGAGUCGACCCCUAAGGCGAGGCCGAAAGGCGUAGUCGAUGGGAAACGGGUUAAUAUUCCCGUACUUGGUGUUACUGCGAAGGGGGGACGGAGAAGGCUAUGUUGGCCGGGCGACGGUU
rnacentral:rRNA from 1 species